rnacentral:rRNA from 1 species
ACGAACGCUGGCGGCGUGCUUAACACAUGCAAGUCGAACGAGCACUUCGGUGCUAGUGGCGGACGGGUGAGUAAUACAUAGAUAACCUGCCCUUGAGUGGGGGAUAACUAGCCGAAAGGUUAGCUAAUACCGCAUAAUGUGGUCAAUUGAGAUGUUGAUCAAGAAAGGAGCAAUUCGCUUUUGGAGGGGUCUAUGGUCGAUUAGUUAGUUGGUGGGGUAAAGGCUUACCAAGACGAUGAUCGAUAGCUGGUCUGAGAGGACGAUCAGCCACACUGGGACUGAGACACGGCCCAGACUUCUACGGAAGGCAGCAGUGGGGAAUUUUCCGCAAUGGGCGAAAGCCUGACGGAGCGACGCCGCGUGGAGGAUGAAGUAUUUCGGUAUGUAAACUCCUGUCAUCAGGGACGAAAGAAAUGACGGUACCUGAGGAGGAAGCAUCGGCUAACUACGU